AUUGAACGCUGGCGGAAUGCUUUACACAUGCAAGUCGAACGGCAGCACGGGGGCAACCCUGGUGGCGAGUGGCGAACGGGUGAGUAAUACAUCGGAACGUGCCCGGUCGUGGGGGAUAACGUAGCGAAAGUUACGCUAAUACCGCAUACGAUCUGAGGAUGAAAGCGGGGGACCUUCGGGCCUCACGCGAUCGGAGCGGCCGAUGUCAGAUUAGGUAGUUGGUGGGGUAAAGGCCUACCAAGCCGACGAUCUGUAGCUGGUCUGAGAGGACGACCAGCCACACUGGGACUGAGACACGGCCCAGACUCCUACGGGAGGCAGCAGUGGGGAAUUUUGGACAAUGGGCGCAAGCCUGAUCCAGCCAUUCCGCGUGCAGGACGAAGGCCUUCGGGUUGUAAACUGCUUUUGUAUGGAACGAAAAGGCUCUGGCUAAUACCUGGGGCUCAUGACGGUACCGUAAGAAUAAGCACCGGCUAACUACGUG
rnacentral:rRNA from 1 species